rnacentral:misc_RNA from 1 species
UCUCCGUAGGUGAACCUGCGGAGGGAUCAUUACAGAGUUCUCGCUCCUCCGGGUAGAACUCCUACUCACCGUGAUUGAUACUGUGCUGCUUUGGCGGGCCGCCGGGCAUUGCCCGUCCGCCGGCUCCGGCUGCCGCGCGCCCGCCAGAGGAUCCGCCAACUUUGAAUGUCAGUGUCGUCCGAGUACAAUAUAUUAUCUAAAACUUUAAACAAUGGAUUGAUUGGUUCUGGCAUCGUUGAAGAAUGCAGCAGAUCGGAAGAACACACGUCUGUACUUCAA